rnacentral:rRNA from 1 species
GACGAACGCUGGCGGCGUGCUUAACACAUGCAAGUCGAACGGUGAAGCGCCUUCCUUUUUGGUGGGUGUGGAUGAGUGGCGAACGGGUGAGUAACACGUGAGUAACCUGCCCCCUUCUUCUGGAUAACCGCAUGAAAGUGUGGCUAAUACGGGAUAUUCUGGGUCUGUCGCAUGAUGGGUCUGGGAAAGAUAUUGUUUCGGUGGGGGAUGGGCUCGCGGCCUAUCAGCUUGUUGGUGGGGUGAUGGCCUACCAAGGCGGUGACGGGUAGCCGGCCUUAGAGGGUGGACGGUCACACUGGGACUGAGACACGGCCCAGACUCCUACGGGAGGCAGCAGUGGGGAAUAUUGCACAAUGGGCGCAAGCCUGAUGCAGCGACGCCGCGUGAGGGAUGGAGGCCUUCGGGUUGUGAACCUCUUUCGCCAGUGAAGCAGGCCUGCCUCGUUUGUGGGUGGGUUGACGGUAGCUGGAUAAGAAGCGCCGGCUAACUACGUG